rnacentral:rRNA from 1 species
UACGGGGGGAGCAAGCGUUGUUCGGAUUUACUGGGCGUAAAGGGCGCGUAGGCGGCCACCGCAAGUCGACUGUGAAAUCUCCGGGCUUAACCCGGAAAGGUCAGCCGAUACUGCGGGGCUAGAGUGCAGUAGGGGCAACUGGAAUUCUUGGUGUAGCGGUGAAAUGCGUAGAUAUCAAGAGGAACACCUGCGGCGAAGGCGGGUUGCUGGGCCGACACUGACGCUGAGGCGCGAAAGCUAGGGGAGCGAACGGG